rnacentral:rRNA from 1 species
UGAACGCUGGCGGCGUGCCUAAUACAUGCAAGUCGAACGAGAAAGUACAGACACUUCGGUAGAAGUACGAGUAAAGUGGCGAACGGGUGAGUAACACGUAGGUGACCUGCCCCGAAGAGGGGGACAACCAGUAGAAAUGCUGGCUAAUACCCCAUAAGCUCACGCGCGUUAAAGAAACGUAAGAAAAGUUUCGGCGCUUCGGGAGGGGCCUGCGGCCCAUCAGCUAGUUGGUAAGGUAAAAGCUUACCAAGGCGAAGACGGGUAGGGGGCCUGAGAGGGUGGUCCCCCACACGGGCACUGAGACACGGGCCCGACUCCUACGGGAGGCAGCAGUAAGGAAUAUUGCCCAAUGGACGCAAGUCUGAGGCAGCAACGCCGCGUGCCCGAUGAAGGCUUUCGGGUUGUAAAGGGCUUUUCUGGCUGAAGAGACAGGACAGUAGGCCAGGAAUAAGCGUCGGCUAACUAC